rnacentral:rRNA from 1 species
AUGAGCGCUGGCGGCGUGCCUAAUACCUGCAAGUCGCGCGAACAGACGAGGAGCUUGCUCCUCUGACGUUAGCGGCGGACGGGUGAGUAACACGUGGAUAACCUACCUAUAAGACUGGGAUAACUUCGGGAAACCGGAGCUAAUACCGGAUAAUAUAUUGAACCGCCUGGUUCAAUAGUGAAAGACGGUUUUGCUGUCACUUAUAGAUGGAUCCGCGCCGCAUUAGCUAGUUGGUAAGGUAACGGCUUACCAAGGCAACGAUGCGUAGCCGACCUGAGAGGGUGAUCGGCCACACUGGAACUGAGACACGGUCCAGACUCCUACGGGAGGCAGCAGUAGGGAAUCUUCCGCAAUGGGCGAAAGCUUGACGGAGCAACGCCGCGUGAGUGAUGAAGGUCUUCGGAUCGUAAAACUCUGUUAUUAGGGAAGAACAAAUGUGUAAGUAACUAUGCACGUCUUGACGGUACCUAAUCAGAAAGCCACGGCUAACUACGUG